rnacentral:rRNA from 1 species
AAAUUGAAGAGUUUGAUCAUGGCUCAGAUUGAACGCUGGCGGCAGGCCUAACACAUGCAAGUCGAGCGGAAACGAGUUAUCUGAACCUUCGGGGAACGAUAACGGCGUCGAGCGGCGGACGGGUGAGUAAUGCCUAGGAAAUUGCCCUGAUGUGGGGGAUAACCAUUGGAAACGAUGGCUAAUACCGCAUGAUGCCUUUGGGCCAAAGAGGGGGACCUUCGGGCCUCUCGCGUCAGGAUAUGCCUAGGUGGGAUUAGCUAGUUGGUGAGGUAAGGGCUCACCAAGGCGACGAUCCCUAGCUGGUCUGAGAGGAUGAUCAG